rnacentral:lncRNA from 1 species
AUUCACAGUGGAAACACAGAUCAUAAGCAGGCCAGGCUCUUCCUCUGUUUUCAGUACUGCGACACGUCUUAAGGAAAACACUCCAGGCCAGGCAUCCCCUGCUGCAGGGCCGUGCCCUGGUCUCACCCGGCCUCCUCUCUUGGCUGUGGAACUCCAAAGCCGAGGCAGAGCACAGGGAAGGCUGCCCUAGCAGCUGCGAAGACUCCUUUUGUGCUGGGGACACCUUCAUCUUGUCCUCUCUGGCCAGACUUCCACUCUGAGGAGACAACUCUGGAGGACCAGGAAGAGGGCGUUUGGAGAGUCACAACCCAGCCCCGCCAGCCACCGAAGAGGUUGGAGAAAGCUGGCUUGAUAAAAUAAUUUUUCCAAAAUUCUGAUCCUGUGAGAACAAAAAUGAGCCGAGGAGAAAACUUGAAGUUAACUCUUAUCGUGACCUUGAAAUAUAAAUGCAGCCCACUUGGCCUGAGACUUUGGCCUUGGGUUAAAUAGUAGAACUUCAAUCAAAAAUAAAUAAAUAAAUAAAUAAACAGGAAGAGGCUUUUAAAAGCUCAAGUAAGUAAAUUUAACUUAUUCUAACUGUUCUUUUUGAUUUUAUGUUUGCCGGAUGAAUUGCCAUGACAUGUGGAAUCAUGAUUCCCUAUUUUUCCUUUUCCGUAUUGUUUGUUUUAAAAAGAGAGAUCCUUGUUUAAAAAAGUGUUGGGCUUCACUCACUCUUGUUUUUGUCCUGCAGGAAUGAGAUUUUGUUCUUUUUUUGUAUGUUUGCAUUUGUCUUAUACAUGAGAGUGCCGGCUUUGGGAAACNCUACAAAGAAAAAAAAAAAGAUGAUUUCCUUUGUAAUAUGGCCUGGCCACAAUAAUCUACAGAUUAAAUUUUAAGAUAAAGCUAUGAGAUCUCUGUCUGUCUGGAUAUAUGUAUAUCUCUAUGUGUUUUUGUCUUUGGAUAAUAUUGCUGAAGUUAAUUUCUAGAUAAGCUCUAUUUAAUUUUUUUAAGGUAAGUGCUUAUAAACUACCCAUUUCUGGGAAAACUGGAUGGAUAUUCACAUGCAAAAGCAUGAAUCUGGACCCUUAUAUAACACCAUGUAUAAAAAUUACCUCUAAAUGGACCAAGAGCCUAAAUAAGAGCCACAUGGCAAAGCUGCCUUUCAGAAAUGAAGGGAAGAUAAAGACUUUUCAAGACAAACAAAAACUGAGGUAGUUUAUACCAGCUUUACAUGGAAUGUCAAAAGGAAUUAUUCAAGCUAAAAUGAAAGUAACUAAUUAGCAGCAUGUAAACAUGUGAAGAUAAGUAUAUAGCCAAAUUCAAAAUACCCUAAUACUAUCAUACAGUGGGGUAUGAACCACAUAACUCCAGUAGAAAGGCUAAAAAGGAUAAAAGUAUUAAAAAUAACUAUAGCCAAAAUAAUUUGUUAAUGGAUAUACAAAUAAAAAGAUGUAAAUUGUGACAUUAAAAAACAUAAAAUAGGGUGAGGGAGUGAAAGGUAGAGAUUUGUAUAGAAUUGAAGUUAUCAACUUACAAUAGAAUAUUAUAUUUUACAUAAAUCUCAUGAUAAUCACUGCAAAAACUUAUAGUAGGUACACAAAAGACAAAGGCAGGGGAAUCAAAGAAUACCAGCUAACAAAUCAAUUAGCAAAGGAAGACAGCAAGAGAGAAAGAAAAGAAAAAAAAAAA